rnacentral:rRNA from 1 species
CCUACGGGAGGCAGCAGUGAGGAAUAUUGGUCAAUGGGCGGAAGCCUGAACCAGCCAAGUAGCGUGCGGGAUGAAGGCCCUACGGGUCGUACACCGCUUUUGCACGGGGAUAACACCCUCCACUUGUGGAGGUCUGCAGGUACCGUGCGAAUAAGGGCCGGCUAAUUCCGUGCCAGCAGCCGCGGUAAUACGGAAGGCCCGCGCGUUAUCCGGAUUCAUUGGGCUUAAAGGGUGCGUAGGCGGGCGUUCAAGUCAGCUGUAAAAUCGCGCGGCUCAACCGCGCCCCGCAGUGGAAACUGGACGCCUUGAGUUGAGAAGAGGAAGGCGGAAUUCGUGGGGGAGCGGUGAAA